rnacentral:SRP_RNA from 1 species
GUCCGGCUCUGGGGUUGUCCUUCCUUCUCCGCUAGAGGUCGGGUCAAAGCCGAAAGUCGGGUUUUCCUUGUUGACACCGAAAAUCCAAAUUGGCGGAUUCACAAAGAGGGAGCUUCCAUGGGAGAAACGUCUCAGGGAGGAGGAGGAAAGACAGCAGCGUGAAG